CGAGUUUGAUCCUGGCUCAGAUUGAACGCUGGCGGCAUGCUUUACACAUGCAAGUCGAACGGCAGCACGGGAGCUUGCUCCUGGUGGCGAGUGGCGAACGGGUGAGUAAUGCAUCGGAACGUACCCAGUAGUGGGGGAUAGCCCGGCGAAAGCCGGAUUAAUACCGCAUAUUUCCUGAGGGAGAAAGCGGGGGACCUUCGGGCCUCGCGCUACUGGAGCGGCUGAUGUCGGAUUAGCUAGUUGGUGAGGUAAAGGCUCACCAAGCCGACGAUCCAUAGCUGGUUUGAGAGGAUGAUCAGCAACACUGGGACUGAGACACGGCCCAGACUCCUACGGGAGGCAGCAGUGGGGAAUCUUAGACAAUGGGGGAAACCCUGAUCUAGCCAUGCCGCGUGAGCGAUGAAGGCCUUAGGGUUGUAAAGCUCUUUCAGAUGGGAAGAUAAUGACGGUACCAUCAGAAGAAGCCCCGGCUAACUCCGUG
rnacentral:rRNA from 1 species